GCCUGCUCCACACCUGGGUCUGACCAGGGUGAGUGGAUCUUUUGGAACCUAGACAGAGCACAACUGAAAGGGUUGACUGAACUCCCACAAAGAUGUCCUGCCAGCAAACCCAGCAGCUGUGCCAGCCUCCUCUUAAAGGGCCCACUACCAAGUGCCCCCCAAAAUGUCCCCCUAAGAGCCCUCCUAAGGUGCCCUGUUCAAGUCUCUUCCUGCUGUGGGCCUAGCUCUGGGACUGCUGUGGGCCUAGCUUUGGGGCUGCUGUGGCUUCAGCUGAUGUUGGCAUCAGAGCUCCAGCUAUUGCUUUGGGGCUGCUGCUACCAGGACUUUGAGCAUCACCUGAGUAACCGAAACACCAACAACCUGCACCAGUCUCAUGCAUCUCGUUCAUCAGUGCCUUUCAUACCUUCAAGAGCUCUUGCCUCAGAGCAUUGCUAUGCCUGAGGUGUGUCUCAGAAGCAGCCAUUGGCACAGUGGCUUGGGGCUGGGCUCAAAAAUUUGCUCUCUUGAAGUUUGGAUGUGAUUGCUCUGAACAAGCUGCUUUGCCACAAUAAAUAUUUUCAAGUUU